GUGCUCCUGUAAGGAAAAAAGUGAAUAAAAGUGACAUAAGAUUAUUCUUACCCAAGGUGCAGGAAAGACUCGAGCUUCAACAAGGGUCAGAUUAAGACUGGAGCACACCCUGCCGAUCAGAGCGUCUUGCCAAAUACAACCAGAUUUUCUGAUGUGAAAACAAAGAACCAACAGAAACGAAUCUAAUGGGCCAUAAUGCUGGUCGCACACCAUUCAUAGACAUCUCGAACACAAGCAUUACAGGUGAUCAAAAUGGAUCGAACUCGCUUAGACCAAUAGUCGAUGCUAAUGAACGUAAGAGGCAAAGGGAUAAGGAAAGAUAUGCCACGAUGUCCAUUGAACAAAAGAAUGAGAAAAAUAGGAAGCGACGUGAAGCACGUCAACGAAAUAAAGGACUACCCAUAAAGUCCGAGUCAUCUAGAGAAGACAUUAAUACGAAUCAGACACGUGAGGCGGUCAACGUUGAAAUAAGUCGAGAUGUGCAUCUUGGUUCAGGUCCUAUUAAAAACACUCCAUCGACUGGUAAUUCUAUCGAACGAAAGAGGCAAAGGGAUAGAGAAAGGCGUGCAACAAUGUCGGCUGAACAAAGGAAUGAGUACAAUAACAAGCGUCGUCAAAUGCGUCAACGAAAUAAGGGACAAAAUGUGAUGCCAGCUAUUUCAGGAGAUGGCGACAAAAAAGUAAAUGUGGAUCCAGAUGAUGAUAGCGACUGGCUGCAUCGGAACGAGACAUUCCAGUCAAAUGACUAUGUCGCAACGACAGACCUUCUGCCACCAGAGUAUUCAGCUACUAUGGUGGUGUA
rnacentral:misc_RNA from 1 species